UACGUAGGUCCCGAGCGUUGUCCGGAUUUAUUGGGCGUAAAGCGAGCGCAGGUGGUUUAUUAAGUCUGGGGUAAAAGGCAGUGGCUCAACCAUUGUAUGCAUUGGAAACUGGUAGACUUGAGUGCAGGAGAGGAGAGUGGGAUUCCAUGUGUAGCGGUGAAAUGCGUAGAUAUAUGGAGGAACACCGGUGGCGAAAGCGGCUCUCUGGCCUGUAACUGACACUGAGGCUCGAGAGCGUGGGGAGCAAACAGG
rnacentral:rRNA from 1 species